UAAUGACUCUCGGCAACGGAUAUCUCGGCUCUCGCAUCGAUGAAGAACGUAGCGAAAUGCGAUACUUGGUGUGAAUUGCAGAAUCCCGUGAACCAUCGAGUCUUUGAACGCAAGUUGCGCCCUAAGCUUUUAGGUUGAGGGCACGUCUGCCUGGGUGUCACGC
rnacentral:rRNA from 1 species